GCACCAUUAGCUCAGAUGGUAGAGCAACUGACUCUUAAUCAGUGGGUCCCGGGUUCGAGUCCCUGAUGGUGCA
rnacentral:tRNA from 1 species